rnacentral:lncRNA from 1 species
GAUGUGAUUGGAUCGUCAGGGGUACGUCAGGAUGAUCGAUGGCACAUGCAUGGCUUCUGUUCGGUGUGUGCGACAAUGCUUGCCUCGAUCGCCAGUUCGCCUGCGAUGUCACGAGUCAUAACUCACAAGGAUUGGACUGGAGUUGGGAUCGACGCAACUCAACACACACGCAUGCAUUUGAUUGCUGCCUUGCCGAUAAGAGCAUCUCCAGCCGACUCUAGGAUGACUCUUCAAGUGUGUAUGAGGCGACAGCGAGCGCCCGCGCCGUACCGUCGGGACUGCCGCCUUUCCCCUUGCCCCUCGCUCCUCCUCCUCCUCUCGAGCCAGCCGCGAAGAGUUCGUCGGCCCCCUUUCCCCUCCGACUCCGGUGACUUCGGUCACCGGUGGUGGGGUUCAGGUUAGUCUGAUAGAUUCUGUAGUAGGCUAAAUCCUUUUGUUUUGUUUUGUUUGUGUUUUCCUUCUCUGUGCAGCUCGAGGGGUUAUCGACGUCGCGUCCUCUGGUCUCGGUGUAAUAUCAUGGAUGUUGAUCUCUGUGGUGACAGUUUUGAGUUUUUCCAUGGUGUCUUCAACUGGAUGUGCUGCAGGUUUGCGCUUUAGCGGGCUGUGCCGGCCUUUACCUUUAUCUCUGGCGAUCCAUUCGCAAGAACGUCGACCUUCUUCGUCAACGCAGACGGAUCUUCAAUGAGUGGCUAAACUUUCUUGUUGCAGUCAAUGAAGCCUCAACCUCCAUCGAAGACCCCUUUUGGGUUUGCUUCUUGGCGUUCAUCUAUAGCUGCUUGUGGUGUUCAAAUUACCGUCGUCGUCGUCAUAGAUGUCUUCGUCCAGGCAGAGAAGCAACGAAGGGUCUGAUUGCUUUUUUUUGGAUCUUCUAAAAUCCUUUGUUGCAAAAGUCCUGAGCUUAGGUUAAUUUGGCCGUCUUUAAAGGUCCUCUUUGCAAAACUACUGGUGUAUACAGUUCAAUCCUCGGUGUCGAGGACUACUCAUGACAUGUGUACACUUUCCUACUAAAUAAAGUGCAUGAGU